rnacentral:rRNA from 1 species
CCUACGGGCGGCUGCAGUGAGGAAUAUUGGUCAAUGGGCGCUAGCCUGAACCAGCCAAGUAGCGUGAAGGAUGACUGCCCUAUGGGUGGUAAACUUCUUUUAUAUGGGAAUAAAGUGCAGUAUGUAUACUGCUUUGCAUGUACCUUAUGAAUAAGGAUCGGCUAACUCCGUGCCAGCAGCCGCGGUAAUACGGAGGUUGCGAGCGUUAUCCGGAUUUAUUGGGUUUAAAGGGAGCGUAGGCGGGUUGUUAAGUCAGUUGUGAAAGUCUGCGGCUCAACCGUAAAAUUGCAGUUGAUACUGGCAGCCUUGAGUACAGUAGAGGUAGGCGGAAUUCGUGGUGUAGCGGUGAAAUGCUUAGAUAUCGCGAAGAACUCCGAUUGCGAAGGCAGCCUGCUGGACUGUCACUGACGUUGAUGCUCGAAAGUGUGGGUAUCAAACAGGAUUAGAUACCCCAGUAGUC